rnacentral:rRNA from 1 species
UAAUAUGAGAGUUUGAUCUUGGCUCAGGAUGAACGCUGGCGGCGUGCCUAAUACAUGCAAGUCGAACGAACUUCCGUUAAUUGAUUAUGACGUACUUGUACUGAUUGAGAUUUUAACACGAAGUGAGUGGCGAACGGGUGAGUAACACGUGGGUAACCUGCCCAGAAGUAGGGGAUAACACCUGGAAACAGAUGCUAAUACCGUAUAACAGAGAAAACCGCAUGGUUUUCUUUUAAAAGAUGGCUCUGCUAUCACUUUUGGAUGGACCCGCGGCGUAUUAGCUAGUUGGUGAGGUAAAGGCUCACCAAGGCAGUGAUACGUAGCCGACCUGAGAGGGUAAUCGGCCACAUUGGGACUGAGACACGGCCCAGACUCCUACGGGAGG